GACGGACGAACCUCUGGUGUGCCAGUUGUCCUGCCAAGGGCACUGCUGGUUGGCUACGUUCGGAAGGGAUAACCGCUGAAAGCAUCUAAGCGGGAAGCCUGUUCCAAGAUGAGGUUUCUCACCCACUUGAUGGGUUAAGGCCCCCUACAGACCAUGGGGUUGAUAGGCCAGAACUGGAAGCCCGGUAACGGGUGGAGGUGACUGGUACUAAUAGGCCGAGGACUUACCAAC
rnacentral:rRNA from 1 species